CAGAGAGAGCCCCCAGAACAUUCCACAGGGGUUGGGCAGGCCCGGCGCAGGGCCUGCCUAUUGCCUGCAAGAGAAAUCCUGCCACGGAACCUGGGCUUCUCUGAUCUGCCAAACUUUGUGUCUCAUUUAGCUUUCUUUGUGUCACAAAGAAGCUGCGGAGUCUGAGGAUUUAGCAAAGGCCUCAGAGAAUACUUGCAUUGGAGGAAAAUACUCAACAUCAUACAAUUUACAGUAAGUGAAAAAUGAAGCGAAAAUAUACAUAUACACUGCAUAGCUCUCACUAGCCAUGUUCAUUCCUAAUACACUUAAUCGCGGUUCGUUUUCUUUCCUGUGUCUCUAGUUUUUCUGUGAGGAUCAUACACGUAGGCCACGGAAAGGACACACGCUGAAAUGUGUCGUUGCACACCAGCCCGGAAACGCCGCUCCGAGUCACGCUUCAGGCCCCGGCAUCUGCGCUCCAGAGCAAACGCUACAAGUUUUCCAGUCCAGGCUCCUGCCUCACUCCAGCUGGUGGGCAUCACAUAGAGCUGGGGAAGCGGUUCCAGUCCCACCCAAUCCACGCACCCCAUCACCUGAAUAAGACAGAGCAACAUAUACAGAGAAACAGGAUGGCUCACCCUGCUGGGGUAGAGUUGUGUCUGUCUCCAUUUUGCAGUGUCUAGAGGCAAAUUUAUAGCAAUAAAUGCCCACGUGAGAAGAGAGGAAAGACCUAA
rnacentral:lncRNA from 13 species